rnacentral:rRNA from 1 species
GACGAACGCUGGCGGCGUGCUUAACACAUGCAAGUCGAACGGAAAGGCCCUGCUUUUGUGGGGUGCUCGAGUGGCGAACGGGUGAGUAACACGUGAGUAACCUGCCCUUGACUUUGGGAUAACUUCAGGAAACUGAGGCUAAUACCGGAUAGGAGCUCCUGCUGCAUGGUGGGGGUUGGAAAGUUUCGGCGGUUGGGGAUGGACUCGCGGCUUAUCAGCUUGUUGGUGGGGUAGUGGCUUACCAAGGCUUUGACGGGUAGCCGGCCUGAGAGGGUGACCGGCCACAUUGGGACUGAGAUACGGCCCAGACUCCUACGGGAGGCAGCAGUGGGGAAUAUUGCACAAUGGGCGGAAGCCUGAUGCAGCAACGCCGCGUGCGGGAUGACGGCCUUCGGGCUGUAAACCGCUUUCGCCUGUGACGAAGCGUGAGUGACGGUAAUGGGUAAAGAAGCACCGGCUAACUACGUG